rnacentral:rRNA from 1 species
UACGGGGGGGGCAAGCGUUGUCCGGAAUCAUUGGGCGUAAAGAGCGUGUAGGCGGCUCGGUAAGUCCGCUGUGAAAGUCCAGGGCUCAACCCUGGAAUGCCGGUGGAAACUGUCGAGCUCGAGUCCGGAAGAGGCGAGUGGAAUUCCUGGUGUAGCGGUGAAAUGCGCAGAUAUCAGGAGGAACACCAAUGGCGAAGGCAGCUCGCUGGGACGGUACUGACGCUGAGACGCGAAAGCGUGGGGAGCAAACAGG